rnacentral:rRNA from 1 species
CUUCCGUAAGGGGAACCUGCGGAAGGAUCAUUACAAGUGAGGCUACCGAACGCUGGAAACAGCGGUUAGGAGCUUACACCCACCCGUGUUUACAUACUAUUGUUGCUUUGGCGGGCCGUGGCCUCCACUGCGGGCUCUGCUCGUGUGUGCCCGCCAGAGGACCAAACUCUGAAUGUUAGUGAUGUCUGAGUACUAUCUAAUAGUUAAAACUUUCAACAACGGAUCUCUUGGUUCUGGCAUCGAUGAAGAACGCAGCGAAAUGCGAUAAGUAAUGUGAAUUGCAGAAUUCAGUGAAUCAUCGAAUCUUUGAACGCACAUUGCGCCCUGUGGUAUUCCGCAGGGCAUGCCUGUUCGAGCGUCAUUUAACCACUCACGCCUAGCGUGGUAUUGGGGCACGCGGUCUCCGCGGCCCUCAAAAUUAGUGGCGGUGCCGGUGGGCUCUAAGCGUAGUACAUACUCCCGCUAUAGAGUUCCCCCCGGUGGCUCGCCAGAACCCCCAAUUUUUACAGGUGACCUCGGAUCAGGUAGGAUCCCGGUCCU